UACGUAGGGUGCAAGCGUUUGUCCGGAAUUAUUGGGCGUAAAGAGCUCGUAGGCGGUCUGUCGCGUCGGGCUGUGAAAACCCGGAGCUCAACUCCGGGCCUGCAGUCGAUACGGGCAAACUGGAGUGUUGCAGGGGAGACUGGAAUUCCUGGUGUAGCGGUGGAAUGCGCAGAUAUCAGGAGGAACACCAAUGGCGAAGGCAGCACUCUGGGACGUGACUGACGCUGAGACGCGAAAGCAUGGGGAGCGAACAGG
rnacentral:rRNA from 1 species